GACGAACGCUGGCGGCGUGCUUAACACAUGCAAGUCGAACGGAAAGGCCCUGCUUUUGUGGGGUGCUCGAGUGGCGAACGGGUGAGUAACACGUGAGUAACCUGCCCUUGACUUUGGGAUAACUUCAGGAAACUGGGGCUAAUACCGGAUAGGAGCCCCUGCUGCAUGGUGGGGGUUGGAAAUUUUCGGCGGUUGGGGAUGGACUCGCGGCUUAUCAGCUUGUUGGUGGGGUAGUGGCUUACCAAGGCUUUGACGGGUAGCCGGCCUGAGAGGGUGACCGGCCACAUUGGGACUGAGAUACGGCCCAGACUCCUACGGGAGGCAGCAGUGGGGAAUAUUGCACAAUGGGCGGAAGCCUGAUGCAGCAAUGCCGCGUGCGGGAUGACGGCCUUCGGGUUGUAAACCGCUUUCGCCUGUGACGAAGCGUGAGUGACGGUAAUGGGUAAAGAAGCACCGGCUAACUACGUG
rnacentral:rRNA from 1 species